UUCCGUAGGUGAACCUGCGGAAGGAUCAUUGUUGAACCUGCCAUGCGCAAACGACCCGUGAACGAGUUCUUACGCUUUCGAGCGAGGAUGCCGCGCAAGUCCGUAGGGUAACCUGCGGAGGGAUCAUUACUGAGUUACCGCUCUAUAACCCUUUGUGAACGUACCUAACCGUUGCUUCGGCGGGCAGGGGAAGCCUCUCGCGGGCCUCCCCUCCCGGCGCCGGCCCCCACCACGGGGACGGGGCGCCCGCCGGAGGAAACCAAACUCUAUUUACACGACGUCUCUUCUGAGUGGCACAAGCAAAUAAUUAAAACUUUUAACAACGGAUCUCUUGGUUCUGGCAUCGAUGAAGAACGCAGCGAAAUGCGAUAAGUAAUGUGAAUUGCAGAAUUCAGUGAAUCAUCGAAUCUUUGAACGCACAUUGCGCUCGCCAGCAUUCUGGCGAGCAUGCCUGUUCGAGCGUCAUUUCAACCCUCAAGCACCGCUUGGUUUUGGGGCCCCACGGCCGACGUGGGCCCUUAAAGGUAGUGGCGGACCCUCCCGGAGCCUCCUUUGCGUAGUAACUAACGUCUCGCACUGGGAUCCGGAGGGACUCUUGCCGUUAAACCCCCAAAUUCUUACAGGUUGACCUCGGAUCAGGUAAGAAUUACCACGAA
rnacentral:rRNA from 1 species